rnacentral:rRNA from 1 species
UACGAAGGGGGCUAGCGUUGCUCGGAAUCACUGGGCGUAAAGCGCACGUAGGCGGAUUGCUAAGUCAGGGGUGAAAUCCUGGAGCUCAACUCCAGAACUGCCCUUGAUACUGGCGGUCUCGAGUACGGGAGAGGUGAGUGGAACUGCGAGUGUAGAGGUGAAAUUCGUAGAUAUUCGCAAGAACACCAGUGGCGAAGGCGGCUCACUGGCCCGGUACUGACGCCGAGGUGCGAAAGCGUGGGGAGCAAACAGG